AAUAUACUAAUUAUAGUGGAUAAAGCUAUAAUGCAGAUACACAAGCAUUUUUCUUCUAAUUUCAUCAUUUAUCAUAUAUAGAUAUGCUUUGAGCUUAUUAGGUUAGUUUUAAUUAACAAGUCAGGUCUAGACCCAGCCUCUCCUGAAAAACUGAAAGUGUGGGACUUGGAAUUGAAUUCAAAUCCUCCAAGAUUGUAAGCAAUUGUUUUAUCAUGGAACUUGUACUUAUUCUUCAAUAUAAUUAUUUUUAAUAUUAUGUCUUUAUGACAUAAUAUAGGAUACUAUUUUAAUGUAUAGAGUAUGCUCUGACUAGACAAUUUACAGUUAACACUAAUAUUAUACAGAUAUAUAACAAAAAUUUAGGAAUAAAGGUGCAAACCAUUUAAAAUGGUAAAAACAUGUUUAUUUCAUAUUUUCACUUGUUAAUGUCAAAAAUCAUCUUUCUUAGUUCAAAGACACCAUUACCCUUGGUAAUUUCCUCUAUCUCAGGUUUUUUUAAAUUUGUUUUCUGAAAAAAUUUUCAGAAUUGUCUUAAUUAAAUUCAUCAAUGUUUGCUGCUUAUUUUAUAUAAAUCUCUUCAAGGAAAUAAUUUCUUAUGGAAUUGAUAUGACCAAUAAUUUAUUUUUUUCUUCAUGGGGUUAAAUUAUAUAAUAAAUAAAAACAAAUAUAAAUGGAUUCUUUAUAAAUUAUUAUAUAUGUUAAUUCUAAUAGUUGAAUAUUAUAUAAAAAUUAAAGAUCAUGCGUACUGCAUACAUAGAGGUUGUUUGUCAACACUGAUGGAACAGAUAAGAAUUUCGUUAUUCUUUGAAAACAAACAAAUUCGACUACAAAUUCAAUCCAAAUAUUGAAUAGCCUGGAUCCUCCUGCCUUAAAUUCAAUCCUGGAUCCUCUAGGCUGAAAUAAGAUCUAGUUAAGUGAAUCAUUUUAUUACACUUGAUAUCAUUGCAGAUAUUUUAGGAAACAUUGUUAACACAAAAUGAAAACAUUAACUAAAGAAGUAUUGAAGUUGCUGUGGAAACCGUUAUUUUUUUUUUUUAAUUAAACUAUUUGUCACUUUCCUUCUUGUUGGAUACUAAGCAGCACUAAACCUAUCAUAUUCCACCUAUACUUGUAGUAAGGAUCAACUGUCAAGUGAAAGAUGGAGUUGAAUGGGUGGAACCUAGACAUCUUUCAGAAAAAUCUGGAGAUAUAAGACUUGGAAUUAAACACCAAUAUUUCAUGAUAGAAGUACAUUAUGAUUCCAUUUGGAGGCAAGUUGUCCACUGAUCAGUUGACUUUCAUUAUUGCAAAAUCAAUGAUGGUUGUUAUCGUAAAAAUAGAUCAAC
rnacentral:lncRNA from 1 species